rnacentral:lncRNA from 10 species
UUUGGUCCAGAUUGAUAUCUGAACAGUAAAAGUGUCUGGUUAUUAUUGAACGGGUUGCUUUGUGUGCUGGAAAAUGUGAGUCAGACCCCGGAGGGGAAAUUCAGCCCCACUGAGAAGUCAAGCAUGGUGUCAAGCCAAUGAGAAAAGUUUGUGUGACUGGAAGCCAAGGAGUCCAAGCUGGUGACACUGCACAGCAGAAGGAGCCUGUGUCCUUGAGUUUACCGCUCAGCGGAAAACCAUCUUGGUUCAGGGAAAACCCAUGAACCAAGAACAUCCACGUCAGACAUUUCACAGACGAGAAAUAAACAUUUACUCUGGUUGGGGAGCAAUCUUGGACCACAUGGAAAAGGGCAACCUACUCAGGACAGCAGAACAACCAGCAGAAGGAACCGGGGGGCUGACACCUGGGGCUGGUUGAGCUCAUCUGUACUUGGCUAUGCCCAGACUCUUAUG